CAGCCAUAUCACGUUGAAACACCAGUUCUCGUAUGAUCAGCGAAGUUAAGCAAUGUCAUGCCUGGUUAGUACUUUGAUGGUUGGCAGCUUGGAGAUAAAAGUGCUGUAAG